AUCGAACGCUGGCGGCAGGCCUAACACAUGCAAGUCGAACGAGCGGCGAACGGGGGAGUAAUAUAUCGGAACGUACCGAGUAAUGGGGUAUAACUAAUCGAAAGGUUGGCUAAUACCGCAUAUUAUUCGAGCGGCCGAUAACUGAUGAGCUUGUUGGUGGGGUAAUGGCCUACCAAGGCGACGAUCAGUAGCGGGUCUGAGAGGGCGAUCGGCCACACGGGGACUGAGACACGGCCCAGACUCCUACGGGAGGCAGCAGUGGGGAGUUUUGGACAAUGGUGGCAACCCUGAUCCAGCCAGGCCGCAUGUAUGAAGAAGGCCUUCGGGUUGUGAAGUGCUUUUGUUAGGGAAGCGGUACCUAAAGAAUAAGCACCGGCUAACUACGUGCCAGCAGCCGCGGUAAUUC
rnacentral:rRNA from 1 species